AGAACGAACGCUGGCGGCAGGCCUAAUACAUGCAAGUCGAACGCACUCUUCGGAGUGAGUGGCAGACGGGUGAGUAACGCGUGGGAACCUUCCCAAUGGUACGGAAUAACUCCGGGAAACCGGUGCUAAUACCGUAUAAGCCCCUCGGGGGAAAGAUUUAUCGCCAUUGGAUGGGCCCGCGUCGGAUUAGCUAGUUGGUAAGGUAAUGGCUUACCAAGGCUACGAUCCGUAGCUGGUCUGAGAGGAUGAUCAGCCACACUGGGACUGAGACACGGCCCAGACUCCUACGGGAGGCAGCAGUAGGGAAUCUUGGACAAUGGGCGAAAGCCUGAUCCAGCCAUGCCGCGUGAGUGAAGAAGGCCUUAGGGUUGUAAAAGCUCGUUUUGGCGGGGUACGAGUAAUGACGGUACCCGCAGAAUAAGCCCCGGCUAACUUCGUGCCAGCAGCCGC
rnacentral:rRNA from 1 species